UGGGGAAUUUUGGACAAUGGGCGAAAGCCUGAUCCAGCAAUGCCGCGUGUGUGAAGAAGGCCUUCGGGUUGUAAAGCACUUUUGUCCGGAAAGAAAUCCUUGGCUCUAAUACAGUCGGGGGAUGACGGUACCGGAAGAAUAAGCACCGGCUAACUACGUGCCAGCAGCCGCGGUAAUACGUAGGGUGCAAGCGUUAAUCGGAAUUACUGGGCGUAAAGCGUGCGCAGGCGGUUUGCUAAGACCGAUGUGAAAUCCCCGGGCUCAACCUGGGAACUGCAUUGGUGACUGGCAGGCUAGAGUAUGGCAGAGGGGGGUAGAAUUCCACGUGUAGCAGUGAAAUGCGUAGAGAUGUGGAGGAAUACCGAUGGCGAAGGCAGCCCCCUGGGCCAAAUACUGACGCUCAUGCACGAAAGCGUGGGGAGCAAACAGGAUUAGAUACCCUGGUAGUCCACGCCCUAAACGAUGUCAACUAGUUGUUGGGGAUUCAUUUCCUUAGUAGCGUAGCUAACGCGUGAAGUUGACCGCCUGGGGAGUACGGUCGCAAGAUUAAAACUCAAAUGAAUUGACGGGGUCAU
rnacentral:rRNA from 1 species